rnacentral:lncRNA from 1 species
UAUAUAUAGAAUGCUAACUUUUUCAAAAAACAAAAUAAAUAGAACUUUUUAUCUUGAAAACUCUAUUGCCUUGAUUCAAACCAAACUUGGAUGCCACCUUCAAAUCUCAAAUCUCCACCUCCUUGGAUCGUGCUCAACCGGUUUCGAACAUUUUUAUCUAUCAUCUUCAAAAGUAUCUCUAUCGGUGAGGGCUGCUCUCUAUGCCUUCUUCUAUUCCGUUCACACUAAAUCGAAUGUAUGGAAUUCUGGAAAAUAUACCUUAGCAAGAAGCUCUUUGUUUUGUCAAGAACGUUUUCUGCGAGGAUCUUUAAUAUCUCACUC